rnacentral:rRNA from 1 species
CCCUUAGAUGUUCUGGGCCGCACGCGCGCUACAAUGAUGAAUUCAACGAGUUUAUAACCUUGGUUGAAAAGCCUGGGUAAUCUUUUGAACUUUCGUCGUGAUGGGGCUAGAUCCUUGCAAUUAUUGGUCUCCAACGAGGAAUUCCUAGUAAACGCAAGUCAUCAGCUUGCAUUGAUUACGUCCCUGCCCUUUGUACACACCGCCCGUCGCACCUACCGAUUGAAUGGUCCGGUGAAAUCUUCGGAUUGAGACUUUGUUUUCUUCACGGAAAACGCUGUUUUAAAAAGUUGAUUAAACCUUACCAUUUAGAGGAAGGUGAAGUCGUAACA